UGUUGGUGUAAUAUAUGCACAAUAGGGGGAAACCCUGAUGCAGCAACGCCGCGUGAGCGAUGAAGGCCUUCGGGUUGUAAAGCUCUGUCUUCUCUGACGAUAAUGACGGGACCUGAGGGAGGAACCCCCGGUUACUUCCUGCCCGCCACCGCGGUUAUAUAAA
rnacentral:rRNA from 1 species